rnacentral:lncRNA from 1 species
UCCAAAAAAAGUAAAAGUGUUUAUAAGGAAAAUUUCACACAAAGGUGCUGGUAAAUUUUCAUGAGCAACUCCCUGCUGCCCCCAAGAACCACAAAUUACAACAGAAUUGUGGAGAACUAAAUAUAAGAUUGGAAAAAUGAGAAGCUAUCAGUAGCUGAAGUUGGCAGAUUCUCCCCUCCUUAUGAAUGACCAAAUUCAAGAGAUUUCCUCUCAUAAGUUUUUGACAAAGUCUACAAUCCUGUCCAUCAAUUCAACUGCAGCAGGCAAUGUGAACAGGCCUGCGUCAAAGAGGUUUAGCACCCCAUGAAAUCCAUUCUCAACAUGGAACCAGCUGACUUUCACCCCAUUGUCCUCCAGACGUUUCUUGUACAGCAGUGCAUCAUCUCAUAAUACAUCGUACUCGCAGCUCACAAUUAGGGUUUCAGGAAGCUUCUGGAUGACAAAGUCUUCAGCAAAAAGGCAAGAAAUAUCUGGUUCCAAUAGCUCUCGCAAUUGCCUAUAGACUUCAGGUUCAUAAGGAGCAAGUGGGACGUGUUUGUAGCCUCUUGCCUUAAAUCUUUCUGGAAUGUUGUCCGGACUCAACCACUUCCCAUAUUUCAGUCUCAUUUAAUCUGGCACAUGAGAGCCCUUCAGGAGCUGGCCUGCCAAAGAAGUGUUCUUUCCAAUGUACUUCAUGAUAAAGUAAGCAACAUCUUCCCGGAACAAGGGGGACAUUGAGCUGUUCUGCUGAUAGGAAGGCAGUUUGAAGUCUAUAGCCUGGAAUUUCCCAUAGAUCAGUACUUGAGCCCGUAGUUUUGGAAGGUCUGAUCUAUCCACCAGUUUCUGGGCAACAACAGUAGCAUAAUUGCCCCCCGCACUGUCCCCACCAACGAUGAUCUUGGAAGGAUCCACCCCAUGGGAAGCUGCAUUUUGAAUUAAGUGUAUGGUAGCAGCAAGGCAGUCCUUGUACUGAGUGGGAGGAAGAUGCUCAGGAGACAGGAGGUAGCU